rnacentral:rRNA from 1 species
UACGAGGGGGGCGAGCGUUGUUCGGAAUUAUUGGGCGUAAAGGGUGCGUAGGCGGUUUGGUAAGUCUUAUGUGAAAUCUAUGGGCUCAACUCAUAGUCUGCAUGAGAAACUGCCGGGCUUGAGUAUGGGAGAGGUGAGUGGAAUUCCUGGUGUAGCGGUGAAAUGCGUAGAUAUCAGGAGGAACACCUGUGGCGAAAGCGGCUCACUGGACCAUAACUGACGCUGAGGAGCGAAAGCGUGGGGAGCGAACAGG